CGGCGUCGAGCGGCGGACGGGUGAGUAAUGCCUAGGAAAUUGCCUUGAUGUGGGGGAUAACCAUUGGAAACGAUGGCUAAUACCGCAUAAUGCCUACGGGCCAAAGAGGGGGACCUUCGGGCCUCUCGCGUCAAGAUAUGCCUAGGUGGGAUUAGCUAGUUGGUGAGGUAAUGGCUCACCAAGGCGACGAUCCCUAGCUGGUCUGAGAGGAUGAUCAGCCACACUGGAACUGAGACACGGUCCAGACUCCUACGGGAGGCAGCAGUGGGGAAUAUUGCACAAUGGGCGCAAGCCUGAUGCAGCCAUGCCGCGUGUAUGAAGAAGGCCUUCGGGUUGUAAAGUACUUUCAGCAGUGAGGAAGGGGGUGUCGUUAAUAGCGGCAUCUCUUGACGUUAGCUGCAGAAGAAGCACCGGCUAACUCCGUGCCAGCAGCCGCGGUAAUACGGAG
rnacentral:rRNA from 1 species